rnacentral:rRNA from 1 species
CUAAUACAUGCAAGUCGAACGCUUUGUGGUUCAACUGAUUUGAAGAGCUUGCUCAGAUAUGACGAUGGACAUUGCAAAGAGUGGCGAACGGGUGAGUAACACGUGGGAAACCUACCUCUUAGCAGGGGAUAACAUUUGGAAACAGAUGCUAAUACCGUAUAACAAUGACAACCGCAUGGUUGUUAUUUGAAAGAUGGUUCUGCUAUCACUAAGAGAUGGUCCCGCGGUGCAUUAGCUAGUUGGUAAGGUAAUGGCUUACCCAAGGCGGAUGAUGCAUAAGCCGAGUUUGAGAGACUUGAUCGGCCCACAAUGGGACUGAGACACGGCCCCAUACUCCUUACGGGAGGCAGCCAGUAGGGAAUCUUUCCACAAUGGGCGAAAGCCUGAUGGAGCAACGCCCGCGUGUGUGAUGAAGGGUUUCGGCUCGUAAAACACUGUUGUAAGAGAAGAAUGACAUUGAGAGUAACUGUUCAAUGUGUGACGGUAUCUUACCAGAAAGGAACGGCUAAAUACGUGCCAGCAGCCGCGGUAAUACGUAUGUUCCAAGCGUUAUCCGGAUUUAUUGGGCGUAAAGCGAGCGCAGACGGUUAUUUAAGUCUGAAGUGAAAGCCCUCAGCUCAACUGAGGAAUUGCUUUGGAAACUGGAUGACUUGAGUGCAGUAGAGGAAAGUGGAACUCCAUGUGUAGCGGUGAAAUGCGUAGAUAUAUGGAAGAACACCAGUGGCGAAGGCGGCUUUCUGGACUGUAACUGACGUUGAGGCUCGAAAGUGUGGGUAGCAAACAGGAUUAGAUACCCUGGUAGUCCACACCGUAAACGAUGAGUGCUAGGUGUUUGAGGGUUUCCGCCCUUAAGUGCCGCAGCUAACGCAUUAAGCACUCCGCCUGGGGGAGUACGACCGCAAGGUUGAAACUCAAAGGAAUUGACGGGGACCCGCACAAGCGGUGGAGCAUGUGGUUUAAUUCGAAGCAACCCGAAGAACCUUACCAGGUCUUGACAUCCCUUGACAACUCCAGAGAUGGAGCGUUCCCUUCGGGGACAAGGUGACAGGUGGUGCAGGGUUGUCGUCAGCUCGUGUCGUGGAAAUGUUGGGUUAAAUCCCCCAACCAAGCGCAACCCUUUAUUACUAGUUGCCAGCAUUCAGUUGGGGCACUCUAAUUGAGACUGCCCGGUGACAAACCCGGAGGAAGGUGGGGAUGACGUCAAAUCAUCAUGCCCCUUAUGACCUGGGCUACACACGUGCUACAAUGGCGUAUACAACGAGUUGCCAACCCGCGAGGGUGAGCUAAUCUCUUAAAGUACGUCUCAGUUCGGAUUGUAGGCUGCAACUCGCCUACAUGAAGUCGGAAUCGCUAGUAAUCGCGGAUCAGCACGCCGCGGUGAAUACGUUCCCGGGUCUUGUACACACCGCCCGUCACACCAUGAGAGUUUGUAACACCCAAAGCCGGUGGGGUAACCUUCGGGAGCCAG